UUUCCGUAGGUGAACCUGCGGAAGGAUCAUUAUCGAUGGCCGCGCCGUGAGCGCCUGGCGGGAUCGGCCGGCCACUGACCACACCCUUACUUUACGAGCACCUUUCGUUCUCCUUCGGCGGGGCGACCCGCCGCUGGAACUCCAUCACGAACCUUUUUUUGCAUCCAGCAUUACCUGUUCUGAUAAAUUUAAUCGUUACAACUUUCAACAAUGGAUCUCUUGGCUCUGGCAUCGAUGAAGAACGCAGC
rnacentral:misc_RNA from 1 species